rnacentral:rRNA from 1 species
UACGUAGGGGCCAAGCGUUGUCCGGAUUUAUUGGGCGUAAAGAGCUCGUAGGCGGUUCGGCAAGUCGGAUGUGAAAUCUCCACGCUUAACGUGGAGCGGCCAUUCGAAACUGCCGUGACUUGAGUCCGGUAGGGGGGUGUGGAAUUCCCGGUGUAGUGGUGAAAUGCGUAGAUAUCGGGAGGAACACCAGUGGCGAAGGCGACUACCUGGCCUGUUCUUGACGCUGAGGCGCGAAAGCUAGGGGAGCAAACGGG